GACGUAGGAUGCGAGCGUUAUCCGGAAUUAUUGGGCGUAAAGAGUUCGUAGACGAACUGUUAAGUAGAAUGUUAAAGACCAGGGCCUAACCCUGGGAACGUGUUCUAAACUGGCAGAAUAGAGCAAUUCAGAGGCAAGUAGAAUUCUGUGUGUAGGGGUAAUAUCCGUAGAUAUACAGAGGAAUACCAAAAGCGAAGGCAGCUUGCUGGGAAUUUGCUGACGUUCAAGAACGAAAGCGUGGGGAGCAAACAGG
rnacentral:rRNA from 1 species